GACGAACGCUGGCGGCGUGCUUAACACAUGCAAGUCGAACGGUGAAGCGCCUUCCUUUUUGGUGGGUGUGGAUGAGCGGCGAACGGGUGAGUAACACGUGAGUAACCUGCCCCCUUCUUCUGGAUAACCGCAUGAAAGGGUGGCUAAUACGGGAUAUUCUGGGUCUGUCGCAUGAUGGGUCUGGUAAAGAUAUUGUUUCGGUGGGGGAUGGGCUCGCGGCCUAUCAGCUUGUUGGUGGGGUGAUGGCCUCCCAAGGCGGUGACGUGUAGCCGGCCUGAGAGGGUGGACGGUCACGCUGGGACUGAGGCACGGCCGAGACGCCUACGGGAGGCGGCAGUGGGGAGUGUUGCACAAUGGGCGUAAGGCUGAUGCAGCGACGCCGCGUGAGUGAUGGAGCCCUUCGGGUUGUGAACCUCUCUCGCCAGUGAAGCAUGCCUGCCUCGUUUGUGGGUGGGUUGACGGUAGCUGGAUAAGAAGCGCCGGCUAACUACGUG
rnacentral:rRNA from 1 species